CUCGAGCAAAGCUCCAGCAGCUUAGGGCACACCAAAGCACCAAGCGAUAGAUGUCGGAGCGGCGGAGGGAGAGGGAAAAGCUUCGCGACCGCGAGAGGGAUCGGGACCGAGAACGAGAUCGAGAACGGGACCGUGACCGUGACCGUGACCGUGACCGUGAUCGAGACCGCGAACGCGAACGCGACCGCGAGCGAGAUCGAGAUCGAGAUCGCGUGCGGAACAGAGACCGGGACCGGAAGCGCUCUCGAUCCAGGUCCCCCUCCAGGUCGCGUUCCCGGUCUACUGAGCGCCAUCGCCACCGCAACAGUCACAACAGGCGCUCCCGGUCCCCUUCCUCCGACGCUCACCGCCGGAAACGUCGUCGGGAGGGCAGCGAUGGCGAACGCGACCGCCAUCGCUCCUCCUCCACAGUUCCCGCUAGCGGUGGAUCCAAGGAACAAAAGAAGCAGGUCGGAGACGCUCCUGGGGGUGCAGAGGCUCUUGCCACUACAACUGACAUAGACCCGGAUGAGUUGGAGAUGAUGAACAUGAUGGGGAUCCCAACGGGGUUCGAUUCCACCAAAGGGAAGCCGGUUUCAGGGAACGACGUCAGUGGGGUGAAAGCGGUGACAAAGAGACAGCCAAGGCAGUACAUGAAUCGGAGGGGAGGGUUCAACCGUCCGUUGCCCCAAGAACGCAACCGCUAGGACCUUAUCUCGGGAUGGAAGGUUAAGGACUCCAAAUCGGCGCCUACUGAUUUGGACAAGCUGUGAAUCUCAUGAAUUCAGUCCAGGAAAGUGGCCAGUCAUCGUAGGGCAAGGAUUUUCUGCUUUGAUGUAACACAUUUAAGACUUAGUUUUUAUUUGUUAAACAUCUUCAUGGAACUAGGAUAAGCAGCACUACGUGUUUCAUCACAGAUUUGCUCCUGUACUGAAACCAUUGGUUAUGAUGCAGUUUCUUCAUAUACAUUGUCUGUUGUGCAGAAAUCUGGCUGCAGUUCUGCCCCUUGUCAUAGAAACGUCAUUGGUUGCAGCGCAAUGUUUUGACUCGGUAUAUAUUAAAAGAUUGCCAUGUUCUUAUCUAUCAUAUUAAGUUAGUUUGGGGUCUACUGGCCCUUCUAAUUUCAGAAAUCUUUUAUUGUUUUUGAAAUCAUACUUAAUUUAUUUUCCAAGUUGUAUUCCAUUUGUUUAGGCCUUCAGACUCCUUACAGCUCUGCUAUAUCAUCGAGUUUUGGUGGUUUGGAUGGGUGUGUAGUUUCUCCCUCUAGUUUAGGGGCAGCAAAUGACAAUUUUAUUUAAGAUUAUUUUAAAAUAAACUAUUUGAUAAAUAUAUUAAACAAAAAUCAUGUUAAUUUAUUUAUGUUUGACUUAUGUUGUUUCUUUUAAUUUUAUUAAUUGCAUUUUAUCUUUGUUUA